CGCCUCUUGCUAACAAAGGAAGUACUAGAGGUCCCGCCUGCCCUGUGACCACAAAGUUUAACGGCCGCGGUAUCCUGACCGUGCGAAGGUAGCGUAAUCAUUUGUCUUUUAAAUAGAGACCUGUAUGAAUGGCAUAACGAGGGUUUAACUGUCUCCUUCCCCUAGUCAAUGAAAUUGAUCUGCCCGUGCAGAAGCGGACAUAAACACAUAAGACGAGAAGACCCUAUGGAGCUUUAGACAAAAGAUCAAACAUGUAAAGAAACCAAACCAACCAAAAGGAACACGAAGGCCACAAAACCCAACGUAAACUGAUCUAAAUGUCUUCGGUUGGGGCGACCAUGGGGGAAAGAAAAGCCCCCACGAGGAACAGGGACAACCCUAAACUAAGAGAGACACCUCUAAGCAACAGAAAA
rnacentral:rRNA from 1 species